rnacentral:rRNA from 1 species
UACGUAGGUGGCAAGCGUUGUCCGGAUUUACUGGGCGUAAAGAGCGCGUAGGCGGUCGUUCAAGUCGCGUGUGAAAGCCCCCGGCUCAACUGGGGAGGGUCACGCGAUACUGAUCGACUCGAAGGCAGGAGAGGGAAGUGGAAUUCCCGGUGUAGUGGUGAAAUGCGUAGAUAUCGGGAGGAACACCAGUGGCGAAGGCGACUUCCUGGCCUGUUCUUGACGCUGAGGCGCGAAAGCCAGGGGAGCGAACGGG